AGAUUGAACGCUGGCGGCAGGCCUAACACAUGCAAGUCGAGCGGCAGCACGGGUACUUGUACCUGGUGGCGAGCGGCGGACGGGUGAGUAAUGCCUAGGAAUCUGCCUGGUAGUGGGGGAUAACGCUCGGAAACGGACGCUAAUACCGCAUACGUCCUACGGGAGAAAGCAGGGGACCUUCGGGCCUUGCGCUAUCAGAUGAGCCUAGGUCGGAUUAGCUAGUUGGUGAGGUAAUGGCUCACCAAGGCGACGAUCCGUAACUGGUCUGAGAGGAUGAUCAGUCACACUGGAACUGAGACACGGUCCAGACUCCUACGGGAGGCAGCAGUGGGAAUUUUGGACAAGUGGGGAAACCCGUGAUCCAGCCAUCCCGCGUGUGCGAUGAAGGCCUUCGGUUGUAAGCUACGUUUGGUCGAGGAAGAAACGGACGUCGACCCUAAGUACGGACGUCACUGACGUACCUGACAGAAUAAGACACGCUAAC
rnacentral:rRNA from 1 species